rnacentral:rRNA from 1 species
CCGCGGUAAUACGGAGGGGGUUAGCGUUGUUCGGAAUUACUGGGCGUAAAGCGCGCGUAGGCGGAUUAGUCAGUUAGAGGUGAAAUCCCAGGGCUCAACCCUGGAACUGCCUUUAAUACUGCUAGUCUUGAGUUCGAGAGAGGUGAGUGGAAUUCCGAGUGUAGAGGUGAAAUUCGUAGAUAUUCGGAGGAACACCAGUGGCGAAGGCGGCUCACUGGCUCGAUACUGACGCUGAGGUGCGAAAGUGUGGGGAGCAAACAGGAUUAGAUACCCUGGUAGUCCACACCGU